rnacentral:rRNA from 1 species
CGCCUCUUGCUUAAAUUGUAUAAGAGGUACUGCCUGCCCAGUGACACCUGUUUAACGGCCGCGGUAUUAUGACCGUGCAAAGGUAGCGUAAUCACUUGUCCCCUAAAUAGUGACCAGUAUGAAUGGCAAAACGAGAGCUCAACUGUCUCCUUGGAUCUGUCAAUGAAAUUGAUCUUUCCGUGCAGAAGCGGAAAUAUUAUUAUAAGACGAGAAGACCCUGUGGAGCUUCAAACUUAAUGCUAAUUAUAUUAAAUAUUAAUUUAACAUAUAGCUUUGGGUUGGGGCGACCACGGGGUAAAAUAAAACCCCCGAGAUGAAAAGUUUAGAAAAACACUUCAAACAACAAUAUAGUUGACAUAAUUGACCCAACAAUUGAUCAACGAACCAAGUUACCCCAGGGAUAACAGCGCAAUCCUUUCACAGAGUUCAUAUCGACGAAUGGGUUUACGACCUCGAUGUUGGAUCAGGACCCCCCAAUGGUGCAA